CUACACAAACCCCAAAUCUUUCCCACGCCACCUUCACUGUCAACGUCCUCCAGUUUCGACUGCGCGCCAUGACCACGCCGCCACCAUCGACUAUCAGCUCUCGCUUUGAUUCUUCAUCUUCCGUUUGUGCAUCUGCUGAUCUCCCUAUUUUUCUAUCGACGCCAUGGCGGCUCUUUCCCAAUCAAACAUGCGACCUAGUUCUAUUAAAAAUCUUGGGUCUCAAAACAAGCUCUUCGGGAAGUGCUCUUUCUCCUUUCCCUUGAAGUUCUUAAUUUAAUUUUCCCUGGUUUAUCUUUGCAUUUCUUUUUGAAUUCUGUCUAUUCUUAUCUUUUAAUAAUUUUGGAUCUUUGUAAACAUUCAAAUCAAUUAUAGUGGUGUAUAUAUAUAUAUAUUUGUGUUGGUUCUGGUACUACUAAUCGCUUUCAAUACAGGAGCUUCUUGCACAAUAAUGGAUUGUAACAUUCAUGGUGGUAGUGGAGAAGUCUAAAAGGGGCGGAGAAGAAGGAUGCUAAUUGGGCGAUAAUUGUGCCUUAAUUAAGGAUAUUAAUUAUUCUUAACUAACGGUUUUUGUACCAUUUAU
rnacentral:lncRNA from 1 species